rnacentral:lncRNA from 1 species
CAGUUUAGACUUUAGUCGAAAUAGUGGUUUUGGGACCAAAAAUUUGAGUUAGAAAAAUAUUUUAAUAAUAUUUUUUGUGCUUAUAAUAUGUGAAUUGAUGUUUGUGAAAAUUUCAUGUGAAAAUUUUACGUUUGUGUGCCUGAUUGGAUAAAAUGACCUAAUCGCAUAAAAUAUAAAAGUUGCUUGCUAAUUGUUAAAAGUGC